rnacentral:rRNA from 1 species
AAAUUGAAGAGUUUGAUCAUGGCUCAGAUUGAACGCUGGCGGCAGGCCUAACACAUGCAAGUCGAGCGGAAACGAGUUAUCUGAACCUUCGGGGAACGAUAACGGCGUCGAGCGGCGGACGGGUGAGUAAUGCCUAGGAAAUUGCCCUGAUGUGGGGGAUAACCAUUGGAAACGAUGGC